rnacentral:rRNA from 1 species
GAUGAACGCUGGCGGCGUGCCUAAUACAUGCAAGUCGAGCGAACAGACGAGGAGCUUGCUCCUCUGACGUUAGCGGCGGACGGGUGAGUAACACGUGGAUAACCUACCUAUAAGACUUGGAUAACUUCGGGAAACCGGAUCUAAUACCGGAUAAUAUAUUUAACCGCAUGGUUCAAUAGUGAAAGACGGUUUUGCUGUCACUUAUAGAUGGAUCCGCGCCGCAUUAGCUAGUUGGUAAGGUAACGGCUUACCAAGGCAACGAUGCGUAGCCGACCUGAGAGGGUGAUCGGUCACACUGGAACUGAGACACGGUCCAGACUCCUACGGGAGGCAGCAGUAGGGAAUCUUCCGCAAUGGGCGAAAGCCUGACGGAGCAACGCCGCGUGAGUGAUGAAGGUCUUCGGAUCGUAAAACUCUGUUAUUAGGGAAGAACAAAUGUGUAAGUAACUAUGCACGUCUUGACGGUACCUAAUCAGAAAGCCACGGCUAACUACGUG